rnacentral:rRNA from 1 species
CUACGGGUCGCUGCAGUGGGGAAUCUUAGACAAUGGGCGCAAGCCUGAUCUAGCCAUGCCGCGUGAGUGAUGAAGGCCUUAGGGUCGUAAAGCUCUUUCGCUGGGGAAGAUAAUGACGGUACCCAGUAAAGAAACCCCGGCUAACUCCGUGCCAGCAGCCGCGGUAAUACGGAGGGGGUUAGCGUUGUUCGGAAUUACUGGGCGUAAAGCGCGCGUAGGCGGACUGUUAAGUCGGGGGUGAAAUCCCGGGGCUCAACCCCGGAACGGCCUUCGAUACUGGCAGUCUGGAGUUCGGGGAGGUGAGUGGAAUUCCGAGUGUAGAGGUGAAAUUCGUAGAUAUUCGGAGGAACACCAGUGGCGAAGGCGGCUCACUGGCUCGAUACUGACGCUGAGGUGCGAAAGUGUGGGGAGCAAACAGGAUUAGAUACCCUUGUAGUC